rnacentral:rRNA from 1 species
CAGCCGCCGCGGGAAUACAGAGGAUGCAAGCGUUAUCCGGAAUGAUUGGGCGUAAAGCGUCUGUAGGUGGCUUUUCAAGUCCGCCGUCAAAUCCCAGGGCUCAACCCUGGACAGGCGGUGGAAACUACCAAGCUGGAGUACGGUAGGGGCAUAGGGAAUUUCCGGUGGAGCGGUGAAAUGCGUUGAGAUCGAAAAGAACACCAACGACGAAAGCACUCUGCUGGGUCGACACUGACACUGAGAGACGAAAGCUAGGGGAGCAAAUGGGAUUAGAUACCCCGGUAGUCCCUGUCUCUUAUAA